rnacentral:lncRNA from 1 species
UGGGUGGUGCCAGCUGACCCAUCAAGUUCAGGGUCGGCCAAAUAUCUCAAACACUGAUUUUCGGUGAAGUUUAGGGAGAGUCAGAAUCUUGUAGCCUCCAGCUACAUGACUCCUAAACCAUAAUUUUGAAUGUUUGGCUAAUUUGUUAGUACUACAAAGGCAGUCUAGUCCCACAAAGACAGUCUAGUCCCCAGGCAAGGAGGUUUGUUUUGGGAAAGGGCUGUUAUUGUCUUUGUUUUAAAGUAUAAACUAAGUUCCUCUUAAAGUUAGUU